rnacentral:tRNA from 1 species
CAAAGUGUAACUUAACUAAAGCCUCUCGCUUACACCGAAAAAAUAUCUAUUGAACUUAGAUCACUUUGAG